UGGGGAAUUUUGGACAAUGGGCGCAAGCCUGAUCCAGCCAUGCCGCGUGCGGGAAGAAGGCCUUCGGGUUGUAAACCGCUUUUGUCAGGGAAGAAAUCUUCUGAGUUAAUACCUCGGGAGGAUGACGGUACCUGAAGAAUAGGCACCGGCUAACUACGUGCCAGCAGCCGCGGUAAUACGUAGGGUGCAAGCGUUAAUCGGAAUUACUGGGCGUAAAGCGUGCGCAGGCGGUUUUGUAAGACAGAGGUGAAAUCCCCGGGCUCAACCUGGGAACUGCCUUUGUGACUGCAAGGCUUGAGUGCGGCAGAGGGGGAUGGAAUUCCGCGUGUAGCAGUGAAAUGCGUAGAUAUGCGGAGGAACACCGAUGGCGAAGGCAAUCCCCUGGGCCUGCACUGACGCUCAUGCACGAAAGCGUGGGGAGCAAACAGGAUUAGAUACCCUGGUAGUCCACGCCCUAAACGAUGUCAACUGGUUGUUGGGAAGGUUCCUUCUCAGUAACGUAGCUAACGCGUGAAGUUGACCGCCUGGGGAGUACGGCCGCAAGGUUGAAAC
rnacentral:rRNA from 1 species